rnacentral:rRNA from 1 species
AGUGAACGCUGGCGGUAGGCCUAACACAUGCAAGUCGAACGGCAGCACAGUAAGAGCUUGCUCUUACGGGUGGCGAGUGGCGGACGGGUGAGGAAUACAUCGGAAUCUACUUUUUCGUGGGGGAUAACGUAGGGAAACUUACGCUAAUACCGCAUACGACCUACGGGUGAAAGCAGGGGAUCUUCGGACCUUGCGCGAUUGAAUGAGCCGAUGUCGGAUUAGCUAGUUGGCGGGGUAAAGGCCCACCAAGGCGACGAUCCGUAGCUGGUCUCAGAGGAUGAUCAGCCACACUGUAACUGAGACACGGUCCAUACUCCUACGGGAGGCAGCAGUGGGGAAUAUUGGACAAUGGGCGCAAGCCUGAUCCAGCCAUACCGCGUGGGUGAAGAAGGCCUUCGGGUUGUAAAGCCCUUUUGUUGGGAAAGAAAAGCAGCAGGUUAAUACCCCGCUGUUCUGACGGUACCCAAAGAAUAAGCACCGGCUAACUUCGUG